AACCUUUAGCCCAAACCAGUAUUAAAGGCAACGCCUGCCCAGUGAACAAUUAAACGGCCGCGGUACCCUAACCGUGCAAAGGUAGCGUAAUCACUUGUCUAUUAAUUGUAGACCCGUAUGAAAGGCAAAAUGAGGGCCUAACUGUCUCUUAUAAUAAAUCAAUUAAACUGAUCCCCCAGUUCAAAAGCUGGGAUGCUUACAUAAGACCAGAAGACCCUGUGAAGCUUAAACUAAACUAUUAAACCUAAUAAUAGCACCUUUCGGUUGGGGCGACCUUGGAAAAAAAAAGAACUUCCAAAUAUACAGCUUUCCGCCAUACCCCAGGCCUACAAGCCUAUCUCAAUGACCCAGCAUAGCUGAUAACUGAACCAAGUUACUCCAGGGAUAACAGCGCUAUCUUCUUCAAGAGCCCAUAUCAAAAAGAAGGUUUACGACCUCGAUGUUGGAUCAGGGCAUCCUAAUGGUGCAACCGCUAUUAAGGGUUCGUUUGUUCAACGAUUAACAGCCCU
rnacentral:rRNA from 1 species